UACGUAGGGGCCGAGCGUUGUCCGGAGUUAUUGGGCGUAAAGCGCGCGCAGGCGGCCUCGCGCGCCCGACGUGAAAGCCCCCGGCUUAACCGGGGAGGGUCGUUGGGGACGGCGGGGCUUGAGGGCGGGAGAGGGUGGUGGAAUUCCCGGUGUAGUGGUGAAAUGCGUAGAUAUCGGGAGGAACACCUGUGGCGAAAGCGGCUCACUGGACCACAACUGACGCUGAGGCGCGAAAGCGUGGGGAGCAAACAGG
rnacentral:rRNA from 1 species